CUGGCGGCGUGCCUAACACAUGCAAGUCGAACGAAGCAUGAUUGAAGGAGACUCGGUCAAUGGAUAUCAUGACUUAGUGGCGGACGGGUGAGUAAUACAUGAGCAACCUGCCUUUCAGAGGGGGACAACAGCUGGAAACGGCUGCUAAUACCGCAUAACGUACGAGAGGGGCAUCCCUUUUGUACCAAAGGAGCAAUCCGCUGAAAGAUGGGCUCAUGACUGAUUAGUUAGUUGGCAGGGCAACGGCCUACCAAGACUGCGAUCAGUAGCCGGACUGAGAGGUUGAACGGCCACAUUGGGACUGAGAUACGGCCCAGACUCCUACGGGAGGCAGCAGGUGGGGAAUAUUGGGCAAUGGGCGAAAGCCUCGACCCAGCAACGCCGCGUGAAGGAAGAAGGUCUUCGGAUUGUAACUUCUUUUAUGAGGGACGAAGGACGUGACGGUACCUCAUGAAUAAGCCACGGCUAACUACGUGCCAGCCGCCGC
rnacentral:rRNA from 1 species